UGCAAGUCGAGCGAGGGAUUUCGGUCCCUAGCGGCGAACGGGUGAGUAACACGUAGGUAAUGUACCUUCUGGUGGGGAAUAACCGUGGGAAACCAUGGCUAAUACCGCAUAUCGCGCUUCGGCGUGAAAGCCUUCGGGCGCCAGUCGAGCAGCCUGCGUCCCAUUAUUUAGUCCUAGUUGGUAGGGUAAUGGCCUACCAAGGGUACGAUGGGUAGCUGGUCUGAGAGGAUGAUCAGCCACACUGGAACUGAGACACGGUCCAGACUCCUACGGGAGGCAGCAGUGGGGAAUAUUGCGCAAUGGGCGAAAGCCUGACGCAGCCACGCCGCGUGAGUGAUGAAGGCCUUCGGGUUGUAAAGCUCUGUCGGGAGGGACGAAGGGGAAACCCUGACGGUACCUCGCAAGAAAGCACCGGCGAACUCUGUGCCAGCAGCCGCGGUAAUACAGAGGGUGCAAGCGUUGCUCGGAUUUACUGGGCGUAAAGCGUACGCAGACGGUGAGAAAGGUCGGAUGUGAAAGCCCCGGGCUCAACCCGGGAACUGCAUCCGAAACCAUCUCGCUCGAGUGUGGGAGAGGGAAGCGGAAUUCCUGGUGUAGAGGUGAAAUUCGUAGAUAUCAGGAGGAACAUCGGCGGCGAAGGCGGCUUCCUGGCUCUAUUACUGACGUUCAGGUACGAAAGCGUGGGUAGCAAACAGGAUUA
rnacentral:rRNA from 1 species